AGAGUUUCAUCCUGGCUCAGGAUGAACGCUUGGCGGCAUCUUAACACAUGCAAGAUCGACACGGGAAGUGUUGUUGUUUUUCCAUGGCGAACGGUGUGAGUAACGCGUAAACCUUCCCUUGGGAGGGGAACCCCAACUGGAACGGUUGCUAAUACCCCGUAGGCUGAGGGCAAAAGGGAGAAUCCGCCCAGGAGGGCUCUCGUCUGCUUAGCUAGUUGGUAGGCAAUAGCUUGACCAGGCGAUGAUCAGUAGCUUGUCCGAGAGGAUGAUCACCCACUGGACUGAGACGCUGCCCAGAUCCCUCCUACGGAGGCAGCGUGGGGUUUUUCCGCCAUUGGCGAAAGCCUGACGGAGCUAUGGCCGGCGUGAGGUGGAAGGCCUACCGGUCGUCACUUCUUUUCUCGGAGAAGAAAAAAUGACGGUUAUCUGAGGAUAAGCAAUCGGCUACUCUGUGCCAUCAGCCGCGGGAAGACGAAGGCUGCAAGCGUUAUCCGGAAUGAUUGGCGUAAAGCGUCUGUAGUGGCUUUUUCAGUCCUCCUUCAAUCCCAGGGCUCAACCCUGGACAGGCGGUGGAACUACCAAGCUGGAGUACGGUAGGGCAGAGGGAAUUCCGCGUGAGCGGUGAAAUUGCAUUGAGAUCGAAAGAAACACCAACGGCAAAGCACUCUGCCUGGGCCGCCACUGACACUGAUAGACGACAGCUAGGUGGAAGCAAAUGGGAUUAGAGACCCCCAUAGUCCUAGCCGUAAACGGAUGGAUACUAGGUGCUGUGCGAACUCGACCCGUGCAGUGCUGUAAGCUAACGCGUUAAGUAUCCCGCUGGAGUACGUUCGCAGUAAUGAAACUCAAAGGAAUUGACGGGGUGGCCCGCACAAGCGGUGGAGCAUGUGGUUUAAUCGAAUUGCAAAGCGAAGAACCUUAACCAGGGCUUGACAUGCCGCGAAUCCUCUUUAAAGGAGGGGUGCCCUCGGGGAACGCGGACACAGUUGCAAGCUGGCGUCAUCUCGUGCCGUAAGUGUUGGGUUAAGUCAUGCACGAGCCGCAACCCUCGUGUUUAUUGCCAACUAUGAGUUUUGGAACCCUGAACAGACCGCCGGUGUUAAGCCGGAGGAAUGAGAGGAUGAGGCCAAGUCAUCAUGCCCCUUAUGCCCUGGGCGACAACACGUUCUACAAUGGGGCGGGACAAAGGGUCGCGAUCUCGCGAGGUAGCUACCUCCAAAAACCCGUCCUCAGUUCGGAUUGCAGGCUGCAAGUCGCCUGCAUGAAGCAGGAAUCGCAUAGUAAUCGCCGGUCACCCUACGCGGUGAAUCCGUUCCCCCGUCCUUGUACCCCAACCGCCCGUCACCUAUAGGAGCUGGCCAGUUUGAAGUCAUUCCCCUUAACCGUAAGGAGGGGGAUGCCUAAGGCUAGGCUAUGCGACUGGAGUGAAGUCGUAACAGGUACCGUACUGAAGUGCUGCUG
rnacentral:rRNA from 1 species